rnacentral:misc_RNA from 3 species
AACGCACCUUGCGCUCCAUGGUAUUCCGUGGAGCAUGCCUGUUUGAGUGUCAUGAAUACUUCAACCCUCCUCUUUCUUAAUGAUUGAAGAGGUGUUUGGUUUCUGAGCGCUGCUGGCCUUUACGGUCUAGCUCGUUCGUAAUGCAUUAGCAUCCGCAAUCGAACUUCGGAUUGACUUGGCGUAAUAGACUAUUCGCUGAGGAAUUCUAGUCUUCGGAUUAGAGCCGGGUUGGGUUAAAGGAAGCUUCUAAUCAGAAUGUCUACAUUUUAAGAUUAGAUCUCAAAUCAGGUAGGACUACCCGCUGAACUUAA